rnacentral:rRNA from 1 species
UACGAAGGGGGCUAGCGGUUGUUCGGAAUUACUGGGCGUAAAGCGCACGUAGGCGGGUUGUAAGUCAGGGGUGAAAUCCUGAAGCUCAACUCCCAGAACUCGCCUUUGAUACUGGCGACCUAGAGACUGGAAGAGGUUAGUGGAAUUCCCAGUGUAGAGGUAGAAAUUCGUAGAUAUGGGAAGAACACCAGUGGCGAAGG